rnacentral:rRNA from 1 species
AUUGAACGCUGUCGGCAUGCUUUACACAUGCAAGUCGGACGAGUGGCGAACGGGUGAGUAAUAUAUCGGAACGUACCGAGUAAUGGGGGAUAACUAAUCGAAAGAUUAGCUAAUACCGCAUAUUAUUCGAGCGGCCGAUAUCUGCUUAGCGAGUUGGUGGGGUAAAGGCCUACCAAGGCGACGAUAAGUAGCGGGGCUGAUAGGAUGAUCCGCCCAACUGAGACUGGGACACGGCCCAGACUCCUACGGCAGGCAGCAGUGGGGAAUUUUGGACAAUGGGCGCAAGCCUGAUCCAGCCAUGCCGCGUGUCUGAAGAAGGCCUUCGGGUUGUAAAGGACUUUUGUCAGGGAAGCGGUACCUGAAGAAUAAGCACCGGCUAACUACGUGCCAGCAGCCGCGGUAAUAC